GGAAAGGAUAUUCCGUGAGUAGUGGCGAGCGAAAGCGGAUGAUGGCCAAACCUUGCGCGUGUGAUACCCGUCGGGGGUUGCGCGCGGGGUGUUGCGGGAUCGCGUGUGCCGGCCCCGACGGGCCGGCCGGCAGUUGCAGAAAACCAUGUGUCAGGGGAACCGGGUUGAAUACCGGGCCGCAGAGGGUGAGGGCCCCGUACCUGAACGCGCAUGGUCUGCCGAUCGCGUCUCCCAAGUAGCACGGGUCCCGUGGAACCCCGUGCGAAUCCGCCCAGACCGUUGAGUAAGCCUGAAUAUUCCUGUCUGACCGAUAGCGAACGAGUAC
rnacentral:rRNA from 1 species